GCUGCCCAGUGGGUUCUCAAACUUAAGGCAGAGCAUAGGAAAAAUGCAGGACUGGGUCUGCACAUCUAUCCAUAGAAUGGACCUGACUAUCUACACUUGGUGUAGUGAUUUCCUUUCUGGAUAUUUGAAGUGCUAUACAUACUGUUUCCAAACUACUGUUGAGAAGGACUUUGAUAAAGGCAUUGGAAGAAUCUAACAAGGGUCAAAGGAUAUGUAUGUUCUCAAAGUGCUUCCCCUUCUCCAUGGAAACAGAAUGCCACCAUCCAUUAUAUGGAGAACUAGGUGUACAAGGGAACCUAUUGUAAUGCCAAAAAUUCUUCCUGGUGCACAGAGUAGACAACCAAAACCUAUCCUUUACUCUCUAUGUGAUGUCCAUAAAAACUGCAUAGAUGGCAACCACUGAUAAUGCAGAAUAAUGGUUCCAAAUGCCACUCCAUAAACGAGCAGAAUUUAGACUCUGGAACAGAAAGUAAGACCAUGAGAAAAAAAGACACUAUCAAGAAAGAACCAAGCUUCUGCUAGGGCAGGAUGCCAGAGGAGAUGAACCUCAGUGAUGUAAAGCAGAUCCAUCAGACAGGCGGAAGUAGUACUUUAGAAACAGCUGGAUCAGGAUGUUCAGCAGCGACUGAUUCCAUGGCAUUUAUGCUGAUGGGUGCGGUGAUGUUACUUCCUUGGCUUUAGUAACUGAGCCCUUCCACCCCGACACACCUGUCUUAUUGGGAUCUUGAUUUCCCCCCGUCUUCAUCUGACUGGAAUAAAAAAAUCUUUUUGAAUGUAACAAUUAUAUUUAUGAAAAGGUAUGUCACACUAACUUCUUAUAAGCCAAGGGGGAACGUUCACGAAUUAUCUAAAAAUGAUAGACUGUUUGAAAACAUGUCUUCUAUGAUCCUAACUUAAAUCUUCUUAAAUUCUAACACAUUAAACCUGCAAAUGUGAAGAGCACAGAAGUGACUUUGAAUAAGAAGGAUUCAGUAUACCUGU